CACGUAGGGCGCAAGCGUUGUCCGGAAUUAUUGGGCGUAAAGAGCUCGUAGGCGGUCUGUUGCGUCCGCUGUGAAAACCCGGGGCUUAACCCUGGGCUGGCAGUGGAUACGGACAGACUAGAGGUAGGUAGGGGAGAAUGGAAUUCCCGGUGUAGCGGUGAAAUGCGCAGAUAUCAGGAGGAACACCGAUGGCGAAGGCAGGUCUCUGGGCAUUAACUGACGCUGAGGAGCGAAAGCAUGGGGAGCGAACAGG
rnacentral:rRNA from 1 species